AUUGAACGCUGGCGGCAGGCCUAACACAUGCAAGUCGAGCGGAAACGACAUCUUCGGAUGGGCGUCGAGCGGCGGACGGGUGAGUAAUGCGUAGAUAUCUGCCUUUUAGUGGAGGAUAACCUGGGGAAACUCAGGCUAAUACUGCAUAAUCUCUACGGAGCAAAGCGGAGGAUCUUCGGACUUCGCGCUAUUAGAUGAGUCUACGUCUGAUUAGCUAGUUGGUGCGGUAACGGCGUACCAAGGCAACGAUCAGUAGCUGGUCUGAGAGGAUGAUCAGCCACACCGGGACUGAGACACGGCCCGGACUCCUACGGGAGGCAGCAGUGGGGAAUAUUGGACAAUGGGCGAAAGCCUGAUCUAGCCAUGCCGCGUGAGUGAUGAAGGCCUUAGGGUCGUAAAGCUCUUUCGCCUGUGAUGAUAAUGACAGUACCUGGUAAAGAAACCCCGGCUAACUCCG
rnacentral:rRNA from 1 species